GCCAGGAUAGCUCAGCUGGUGAGAGCCUGGUGCUGAGAACACCAGGGCUGCAGGUUCGAUCCCCUUAUGGGACA